AAUGAGAUCCCAAAUUAGAUCACAGAUUAAGAUAAGGGAUAGAACUGAUCAUGAAUUACUGUAGGCUCAUAAUGGAGCUACAUUAUAUUUUACAGCCCUGAAAAGCACUUAAUACAUGCAGUGCCAGGGUGCUUUUGGCUAAAAAAAAAUAAUAAAAUUAGAUAGAAUUCCAACUUGCCUUAGCUAAGUACACAUUCAAUAAUUAUUGCAUAUUUGGAAGCGUUGCUCAGGGCUUUGUUACACUUUUGAAGCUGCUGUGUUGUUGUUCUGGAAGCUUGUAUAGUGGGAUCUACAAACGUUGCAGUAUGUGCUCUCAAACACCAGAACAGGUGUCUGUGCAUGAAGCUGUGUCUCCAGGAUGAUUAAGGGAUGAAGAUACAGAAUUUCUGUCAUUGCUAUGGAAUAACUGUCACUGAACCUGAAUCUUUAUUCUAAAUUUCAUGGAUACCUGCAAGCGUUGACGCUGCAGAUCUUCUGAAGCACCUGAAAAACCUCUACUCAUCACUUAAACUAAAUAUUUACUGACUCCGAAGAGAACCAUCAGGAGAUUCUAAUUACAGCUUGGCUUGCUAUUACUUAAUCUAGCCUAUCAAUUGCAAUGCUUCAUAGCAAUUUAAAAAAAAUGGUUUUCCUUAGAAAAUGAGAAAGGAUUCUCUGUCCUUCCGUACAACUCUUUAGGUGCACUAUGGCUUGUUUUGCAGCCAUUUUUUGAGGCAACCUGUUCUGGUCACCAGCUGUGCUCAGAUCCUCAAUUUCAGUUCCCAGAUUUCCUUCAUUUUUCAGCUUGUUGUUAGUCUUCCCAAAUUUAAUCAUUUCUUUUCUCCCUCUCUUUGCUAUUCAGUGACUACAUAUGUGGAACUCUUUCUCCAUCUUCAAUUUAGAAAAUAUUAAGCAUUAGCAAUGUCAUCCCUCUUGGUCUCAAGUUGACACAUUUAGUACUCCUUGAGCCUUGGAUAUUUUCUGAGUUUCUCACCUCUGCAUCUGAACUCAGCAUGAAGUACCAAGCACAGUAGGAGAAGCAAAGAAAGGUAGAAAUAAUUCCAUUUCAUAUUUGUCUAAGUAUGAUACUGAGGGUAAAUGAGCUGUGUUCUUGCAGAUGAUGCACUUAGGAUCUGCAACUGGAUUGUUACCUUAUAAAGAUGACUCUUGUUUCAUUAUCCCUUAACUAUGUAUGGUUGAAAAAUAAUUGUUUAAAUGUAAGUGUGUGAUAAACAUGUACUGCUUAAAAGAUGCAAAAGCUUUAGAGAUGUCAUUGCUGUUUGUGUUAAUGGAUAUGGUUUUGGUAGAAUUUUAUCCUUAUGUGUGAUUUCAAAGUUCACAGCACUUUAAAACGGAUAAAGAAUGUUACAGACAUGGCUGAAAUGUAUUUACUAUUCUGUGACAAACCCAAAUCUCUGCUCUGAAUUCAAUGACUGUAAUUUCUGCAUUGUUACUAUAUUUUAGGCAGGAAGUAUGAGAUAGAAUCAUGGAAUCAUUAGGGUCUGAAGAAACCUCCAAGAUCAUCUGGUCCAACCAUCCUCCUACUACCAAGAUCACCCACUAAACCAUGGC